GACGAACGCUGGCGGCGCGCUUAACACAUGCAAGUCGAACGGAAAGGCCUGCUUUCCCUUGUGGAUUGCGGGUACUCGAGUGGCGAACGGGUGAGUAACACGUGAGUGAUCUGCCCCCAACUUGGGUAUAAGCCUGGGAAGCUGGGUCUAAUUCCCGAUAGGACUGCAGGGUGGUGCCUGUGGUGGAAAACGAUUUUCUAGUGGUUGGGGAUGAGCUCGCGGCCUAUCAGCUUGUUGGUGGGGUAAUGGCCUACCAAGGCGGCGACGGGUAGCCGGCCUGAGAGGGUGGACGGCCACAUUGGGACUGAGAUACGGCCCAGACUCCUACGGGAGGCAGCAGUGGGGAAUAUUGCACAAUGGGCGGAAGCCUGAUGCAGCGACGCCGCGUGGGGGAUGACGGCCUUCGGGUUGUAAACUCCUUUCGACCGCGAGGAAGCCACCUGGUUGGAAGGGUGGUGACGGUAGUGGUAGAAGAAGCACCGGCUAACUACGUG
rnacentral:rRNA from 1 species